rnacentral:lncRNA from 1 species
CGGAGAGAAACAAGUGGACGUGUUGCCAUUAGUUCCCAUGUGACCGGAUGUCACAAACUGCUCAGUUACGCUUUUAUAAUCCAUGAUGCUUCUUUUUAAACCAUAGCCGGUUGUGAGUUGAAAAGUCUUAAAACUAUUUUGUGUUCGGACGGACGGGCGUGAAGUUCCGUUUACUGUUGACGUACGGGCGGAAACGUGACCCAAAAUGUAGGAACGUAUGAAUGGAAACACAAGUGUCCCAGUGUGAGGAACUAACGCCGUCCUGUGUGUGUUCAUCAAACUCAUACAGAUGUUUUCUCAUUGGCUGAUUGUGCGAAUGUCAAGGUUAUGAUGACUCAUUGUCUGACGAAGAAAGAGCUCGAUGAACAGUUCGAGCAGUUCUUGAAAGAGUCUGUUUCAGAUGAGUCCUUGGAUUUUGGUGGCUCACAGCCAGACCCCAAAACCCACCAGAAAACGACCCCCAAAACAGUGCCAUGGUGGGAGAAUGAUGAAGCCAGCAGCUCAACAAAUGGAGUGGAGCUGAUCAGCUGUGUGUACCGAAGGUGAAUGACGACAUGACCCAGUCCGCCUCCUUUGCUUCAGACCACCUUCAUUGACACACUACGAGC